CUAGUCACGUGGUUGAUCUUUUGUUUUGACGUUCAUCACCGGAUUGCGUUUCAUUUGAUAGGCUACAUUUUUUUGCAUUAAUAAUUACUGCCUGCGUCUCGGUUAUAUCAAGGACGGGCAAUUCGAUGUAUUAGUUACUCAAUAUGUUAAUCAGUCGAAAUGCCAGCAGGUAGCAAAACAACUAUGGCGAGCUCUGAAUCAUCGAGAAAAGUAUAAAGCUGAAAAUAUGACAACUAGGCCUACCAAGAAUUGGCUACAAUUGCCAACAUUGUUCCAUCAUGGCGUAACAUUUAACAUAUCAACGUUUGAUAUAACAUGACAGUGAAGAAUGUGAGGGUGGUAUAAUUAGGUAGCAAUGUGUAUUAGUUGGGUGAGUGUCAGAUAAAAUGGUAGCUUAUUAGUCGACCUGAGUUUUCAAAAGACCAGUAAAAAGAGUAAAAACAAAAAAAGACAAGUGACUCCGAUCAGUGUCUCAUUGAUGCAAAUGUGUAAAGGGGUGUGUCUUUGCCACUAGGAUUUCACAGUCCUUUUCUACACACCCUUCAAUAAUAGUACAAUCAUCACAGUCAGAAGAGGACAAGCCACCUGAGGCCUCCUAGCCAGCUGCUUAGACAGGGCAUCCUCCAGCUUUCAUUACCCCAUGUGCUUAGCCUUUCUUGCUGGCUGGGACUGAAAUCCAGAAAAGAUCCAGACAUGAUUACUGCUGCUUAUGUCAGGUGACAAGUCACUCUUCUCUGAUAAGGACACAUAUAAAGUUUUAUGAGUGGAGAUGUUUAUGAGUUUCUUGUUAAAUUGUCUUUCAACCCAUUCUCUUAAAUGUUUAAAUUCCA